rnacentral:rRNA from 1 species
UACGAAGGGUGCAAGCGUUACUCGGAAUUACUGGGCGUAAAGCGUGCGUAGGUGGUUCGUUAAGUCCGAUGUGAAAGCCCUGGGCUCAACCUGGGAAUGGCAUUGGAUACUGGCGGGCUAGAGUGCGGUAGAGGGCAGUGGAAUUCCCGGUGUAGCAGUGAAAUGCGUAGAGAUCGGGAGGAACAUCUGUGGCGAAGGCGGGUCUCUGGACAGUUCCUGACGCUGAGGCACGAAGGCCAGGGGAGCAACGGG